rnacentral:lncRNA from 10 species
GCAUUAUCACCACUUCCGGGGGCGCAGGAAAUGCGUGGUCUCCGGGAUGGUCACGGGGUCCCGCGCAGCCAAUCCCCUCGCAGCUAAGUUGCCAGGCAACGCCCUGGCGCCUGCGGGGAGGGCGGGGUCUGGGCGCCUGGAGGAAGCCAGAGCUUUGGCGCAGGCCGCCUGCGCGCUGUGCCAGGAAAGCGCUUGGAGAAAAUGUCCGGCCCCGCGACCUGGGACAGGAAGUGAUGGAGCACGGACUUAGUUUGCCUUUCAGUUCUUGUAUAAAUAGUUUUGAGGGUUGUCUCUGAAUUUUCACUCAGUUGUCUACCAAGAUGUUGAAUGGACCCAGAGCCAAGGACGUGGUCUUUUAUCAGUGGCACCUGAGACUUUCUUCCCUGUGGACGCAAAUCCAUUAUUCAGCACUCUGGGCACAGCUACAGAUCUGAUCAGCUAUCCAUUCUCCAAACUAUCUCAUCCUCUGUCCCAUUUUUCUGUCUCUCUUGUCCACAAGGCAUAUACCUGAGAGUUUUCAAAUUCCUCAGAGAAAUUUAGAUAUUCUGUGGCUUUGGCAUUCACCUAAUGUGUUAAUCUACAAACCUUUUUUACAGUGUGGAUUUUUUUUCAUGAUGUGAAUUCAAGUGGUUUCUAAUGGUCUCUUCAUAAAGUUGUAAACCAAAAGUAAAAUUCUAAGGCCCCACCCCAUCUGAAUGGACCCCUUCUCUGGGCCAGGGCACUCCAAAUUAACCUGAAAACCGUUCAGGCCACGACAUGAAGUGGGGGCGGGUGGGACAUGGCUGACUAUGCCCUCCUCCCUUUUGGAAUUCAGGGAAAGCCAACACAGACCUUAAGUCUAAUGAGAAACACCAUCUAUUCUCUCUGAAGCCUGCUACCCCAAGGCUUCUUCUGCUGAUAAAACUUUGGUCUCCACAACCUCUUAUAACCCAGACAUUCCUUUCUAUUGGUAAUAACUCUCAACUAAUUGCCAAUCAGAACAUUUUUAAAUCUACCUAUAACCCAGAAGCCCCCACUUUGAGUUGUCCUGCCUUUCUGGACUGAACCAAUGUAUAUCUUGAAUAGAUUUGAUUGAUGUCUCACGACCCUCUAAAAUGCAUAAAACCAAGUUGCACCCCAGCCACCUCCUGAGGUCUGUGUCAUGGGCGUGGCCACUCUAUUUGGCUCAGAAUAAAUCUCUUCAAGUAUUUCACAGAGGUUCAGCCUUUUCAUUGACAAAGUAUUCAUAUCACUUGUUGAAGAAUCCUUUCUAGAAUCUUCCACAGCUCUUUGAGCUGUAGUUUCUGAAGUCCAUCUUUAUUCUCCCUCCCAUCACUGGCUCCUGUUUUGUUCUCCAGAACUCUGAAAAUACUAACAACUAUGAUUUUGUGACCCAAUUUGGAAGUUCUUACAGGGAAACCUCAGCAAGAAACAGCUCAGUGCUAGACGCAGUGGCUCAUGUCUAUAAUCCCAGUACUUUGGGAGGCUGAGGUGGGAGGAUCACUUGAGGCCAGAACUUCAAGACUAGCUUGGGCUAUUUUAAAAUUUUUUAAAAGGGGGAGCAUCUCAGUGACUGCAGCAGGCCUCAGCCUCCACUCCCAACAGUUAGUUGGGCUCUACCAACUGUUGGCCGAGUCUCCAACCUGGAGUACCACAGCCAUCAUCACCCAUGGCACCCAGGAGUGCUCCGUCAUGCUUUCCCUUUAGUUCUAGGGGUAGAAAAUGCCUUCAUUCAAGAGAGGACACACUUAAUGAAUGCAACCAGCUAGAAUCCACCCUUUUAAUAUUUAAAUAUAAUCCACCCUUAUAAUAUUUAAAUAUGUGGCUUUGUUUAAUCCUCCCCAUGCCAAGGCACCAUAUCCACAUUUUACUGAAGAGAAAACUAGAGUUCAGAGAAGGUAACUUGCCUAAAGCCAAGCAGGCAGUAAGAGGAGAUUCAAGCCCAGAUCCUUUUGUGCUUUUUCUGCAUCAUCUCAGGGGCAGCAAGGCUGACUCUUGAAAGGGAGGUUAAUUACUAUGAAAUUAAGGUUUAAAGAAAAAACACCCUGGCCAGAUAAUUUCAAAGGCUUAAUACCAAUAAGACAAGUAACAAGGAGAUGAUUGAUUGAAAUUUAGGAUUUCAGUGGCUCUAUUUGUCUUUAAACUAUGGCUCACUAAAUCUGCAUACUUGAAGUGCUGCGUUCUGGCGAUGCUCUGAUGACACACGAAGUAAUAGGCUGUGUGACUGUCACCAGCCUGAUGUGCAGUUGGGCUGCAGAACCCUGUGAUGCUGCCUAGCCCAGCCAGCCCCAGGUCACUCCUCAGACUCAAACUUGAUUCUGACACCACCAGCACCCGGGAUGCUGCCUAGGGGCUUUCUCUGGUGGCAGGAGCAUGUCCUGGAUUAGGCCGGGGUGCCCGGAAUUGACCAUCCUGACCCUGUGGAGCGUGGGCUGGUGAAGGAAUGCACCAGCUCCCACAAUGAGCACGGGCCCAGCUGCCCACGUGGGAUCCGGCUCCCAGACACCCUGUGCCCUCACCUCUUUCCUGUCUUACCUCCCGCUUCCCUUCAGCUGCUGCUCAGGGCCACCUUCCAAAUUUUGGUCUCAGGGUUGGCACCUGCAGAAGACAAUCCAAGGAAUUUAGAUUCAUUCAUUUCAGAUACUAUUCUUUCAAUUUUAGGGACUAUCUUAAAACUUAGUUUGGUAAUAUGUAAAACACUUAUAAUUUCAAAGUCCAGAUAUUACUUCAGAGUCUAUUUCAGUCUCACUUCCACCAUUGACCCCUGUCCUCCACAGCAACCACUUUAGUUUUUUAUCUUUGUACUGUUUUAAGAAAAAGCAAAUAUAUAUUUGCAUUAUAUGAUAUGUACUCUGCCCCUUAUCAAUAGGUCUUCCUCAUCCCUCCUUCUGGUACUGAGUUCCCCACUGUACGAAUUAAUGUUCCUAAUCCCCUACUGAUGGACAUUUUGAUUGUUUCCAGUUUUACAAAUGCCACAGUGAAGAACUUGGUUGCAAACAUAUUUAGGCGUGAAAAGAACUCUGUGAGUAAAGUCCUUUCAUUUUUUUGCCAGAGUUUUUUUUGAGGCAGUCUAGAAUUGCUGAGUCAAAGGGCAAAUGCCACAUACUUUUGUUAGAUGCUGCCAAAUCCUCUUCCAUGAGGUUGCAAUGUUCUGCAUUCCACAGUGACGUAUGAGAGUCCUUGUAUCCCACAGCUUCAUAAACAAAGCAUGAUGUCAAACCUGCACAUUUACCAAUCACACAGGUGAGAAAUUUUAUCCUAGUUUCACCUUUGUUUUUGGUUCGCAUUUUUAUGACCAGCUUUUUUAUGGUGUAAUGCACAGAAGAUAAUGAACACACUCUACCCACAAGCUUCUUCCUGUGCCUUUGGAAUCUGCUCCUGCCAGUCUGCAGGGAACCACGGAUCUGCUUUCCGUCACGUAGGAGGCAUUCUCGACACCCUCUGUACACAGUAUGCACUUUUAAAAUUUGGCUUCUCUUACACAGCAUAGUGACUUUCAGAUUUAUUCAAGCUGCUGCGUGCACCAAUAGUCCGCUCCUUCCUAGUGCUGAGGCCCCCAUCACAUGAGCACAACUGUUUCCUGUGUGUGAUGUGUUGUUCUCUGGCUGUGCACUGCCAAAAAAGACAUCAUUAAAAAAAAAAUCUAAAUAUAAUGUAAAACCUGCCUUGUCUUAGGAAAAGUUUUUCUGGCAGUGGCUCACACCUAUAAUCCCAAUACUCUGGGAGGCUGAGGCAGGAGGACUGCUUGAGCCCAGGAGUUUGAGACCAGCCUGGGCAAGAUGGUGAAACCCUGUCUCUGUAAAAAAUAUAAAAAUUAGCCAGGCAUGGUGGCUCACACCUGUAGUCUCAGCUCCUUGGGAGGCUGAGGUGGGAGGAUUGCUGGAGCCCCGGAGGUGGAGGUUGCAGUGAGCCGAGAUCACAGCACUGCACUCCAGCCUGGGCAGCAUGGCAAGACUCUGUCUCUACCAAGAAAAAAAACAAAAAAUUAAUAUAAGGAAAAACAAAAGGUUUUUCUUACCAAAAAUACACUUUAAGGAACAAAUUUAUCAUAUUAAGUUGGUGCAAAAGUAAUCGUGGCUUUUACCAUUGAAAGUAAUGGCAAAAACUGCAAUUACUUUUGCACCAACCUAAUAUUACUUUCUAAUGACAAACUUGGAAAUAAUUGUCAUUGUUCUCUAAAAAGAACAGCCUAAAAAUAAAGCAGCAGCCCAUUUACUUCUAUGCCAGUUCUUUUAGUAUUUGGUUAUUUAAACUGGUGGUCCCUAACCUUGUUGGCACCAGGGACUGGUUUCAUGGAAGACACUUUUUCCACGGACAAGUGUGGGGAUGGUGGGGAUGGUUUGGAGAUGAAACGGUUCCAUCUCAGAUCAUCAGCAUUAGAUUUUCAUAAGCGGCGCAUAACCUAGAUCCUUCGCAUGUGCAGUUCACAACAGGGUUCCACUCCUAUGAGAAUCUAAUGCCACCACUGAUCUGGCAGGAGGCGGAGCUCGCCCAGUAAUGAUAUGACAGGGGGCGGAUCUCACACAGUAAUGCUUGGACAGGAGGCGGAGCUCACACGGUAAUGCUCUGCCGGGAGGCGGAGCUCACACGGUAAUGCUCUGACGGGAGGCGGAGCUCACACGGUAAUGCUCUGUCGGGAGGCGGAGCUCACACGGUAAUGCUGUGACGGGAGGCGGAGCUCACACGGUAAUGCUCUGUCGGGAGGCGGAGCUCACACGGUAAUGCUCUGGCGGGAGGCGGAGCUCACACGGUAAUGCUCUGACGGGAGGCGGAGCUCACACGGUAAUGCUCUGCCGGGAGGCGGAGCUCACACGGUAAUGCUGUGACGGGAGGCGGAGCUCACACGGUAAUGCUGUGACGGGAGGCGGAGCUCACACGGUAAUGCUGUGACGGGAGGCGGAGCUCACACGGUAAUGCUGUGACGGGAGGCGGAGCUCACACGGUAAUGCUGUGACGGGAGGCGGAGCUCACACGGUAAUGCUGUGACGGGAGGCGGAGCUCACACGGUAAUGCUGUGACGGGAGGCGGAGCUCACACGGUAAUGCUCUGACGGGAGGCGGAGCUCACACGGUAAUGCUCUGACGGGAGGGCGGAGCUCACACGGUAAUGCUCUGUCGGGGGGCGGAGCUCACACGGUAAUGCUCUGGCGGGGGGCGGAGCUCACACGGUAAUGCUCUGCCGGGAGGCGGAGCUCACACGGUAAUGCUCUGCCGGGAGGCGGAGCUCACACGGUAAUGCUGUGACGGGAGGCGGAGCUCACACGGUAAUGCUCUGUGGGGAGGCGGAGCUCACACGGUAAUGCUGUGACGGGAGGCGGAGCUCACACGGUAAUGCUCUGGCGGGAGGCGGAGCUCACACGGUAAUGCUCUGACGGGAGGCGGAGCUCACACGGUAAUGCUGUGACGGGAGGCGGAGCUCACACGGUAAUGCUCUGGCGGGAGGCGGAGCUCACACGGUAAUGCUCUGCCGGGAGGCGGAGCUCACACGGUAAUGCUCUGACGGGAGGCGGAGCUCACACGGUAAUGCUCUGCCGGGAGGCGGAGCUCACACGGUAAUGCUCUGCCGGGAGGCGGAGCUCACACGGUAAUGCUCUGCCGGGAGGCGGAGCUCACACGGUAAUGCUCUGCGGGGAGGCGGAGCUCACACGGUAAUGCUGUGACGGGAGGCGGAGCUCACACGGUAAUGCUGUGACGGGAGGCGGAGCUCACACGGUAAUGCUCUGACGGGAGGCGGAGCUCACACGGUAAUGCUGUGACGGGAGGCGGAGCUCACACGGUAAUGCUGUGACGGGAGGCGGAGCUCACACGGUAAUGCUGUGACGGGAGGCGGAGCUCACACGGUAAUGCUCGGACGGGAGGCGGAGCUCACACGGUAAUGCUCUGGCGGGAGGCGGAGCUCACACGGUAAUGCUCUGACGGGAGGCGGAGCUCACACGGUAAUGCUCGGACGGGAGGCGGAGCUCACACGGUAAUGCUGUGGCGGGGGGCGGAGCUCACACGGUAAUGCUCUGGCGGGAGGCGGAGCUCACACGGUAAUGCUCGGACGGGAGGCGGAGCUCACACGGUAAUGCUCUGGCGGGAGGCGGAGCUCACACGGUAAUGCUCUGGCAGGAGGCGGAGCUCACACGGUAAUGCUCUGUCGGGAGGCGGAGCUCACACGGUAAUGCUGUGACGGGAGGCGGAGCUCACACGGUAAUGCUCUGUCGGGAGGCGGAGCUCACACGGUAAUGCUCUGGCGGGAGGCGGAGCUCACACGGUAAUGCUCUGACGGGAGGCGGAGCUCACACGGUAAUGCUCUGACGGGAGGCGGAGCUCACACGGUAAUGCUGUGACGGGAGGCGGAGCUCACACGGUAAUGCUGUGACGGGAGGCGGAGCUCACACGGUAAUGCUGUGACGGGAGGCGGAGCUCACACGGUAAUGCUGUGACGGGAGGCGGAGCUCACACGGUAAUGCUGUGACGGGAGGCGGAGCUCACACGGUAAUGCUCUGGCGGGAGGCGGAGCUCACACGGUAAUGCUCUGUCGGGAGGCGGAGCUCACACGGUAAUGCUCUGGCGGGAGGCGGAGCUCACACGGUAAUGCUCUGACGGGAGGCGGAGCUCACACGGUAAUGCUCUGGCGGGAGGCGGAGCUCACACGGUAAUGCUGUGACGGGAGGCGGAGCUCACACGGUAAUGCUCUGGCGGGAGGCGGAGCUCACACGGUAAUGCUCUGACGGAGGCGGAGCUCACACGGUAAUGCUCUGACGGGAGGCGGAGCUCACACGGUAAUGCUCUGACGGGAGGCGGAGCUCACACGGUAAUGCUCUGACGGGAGGCGGAGCUCACACGGUAAUGCUCUGACGGGAGGCGGAGCUCACACGGUAAUGCUCUGCCGGGAGGCGGAGCUCACACGGUAAUGCUCUGUGGGGAGGCGGAGCUCACACGGUAAUGCUCUGGCGGGAGGCGGAGCUCACACGGUAAUGCUCUGGCGGGAGGCGGAGCUCACACGGUAAUGCUCUGACGGGAGGCGGAGCUCACACGGUAAUGCUGUGACGGGAGGCGGAGCUCACACGGUAAUGCUGUGACGGGAGGCGGAGCUCACACGGUAAUGCUCGGACGGGAGGCGGAGCUCACACGGUAAUGCUCUGGCGGGAGGCGGAGCUCACACGGUAAUGCUCGGACGGGAGGCGGAGCUCACACGGUAAUGCUCGGACGGGAGGCGGAGCUCACACGGUAAUGCUGUGGCGGGGGGCGGAGCUCACACGGUAAUGCUCUGGCGGGAGGCGGAGCUCACACGGUAAUGCUCGGACGGGAGGCGGAGCUCACACGGUAAUGCUCUGGCGGGAGGCGGAGCUCACACGGUAAUGCUGUGACGGGAGGCGGAGCUCACACGGUAAUGCUCUGGCGGGAGGCGGAGCUCACACGGUAAUGCUGUGACAGGAGGCGGAGCUCACACGGUAAUGCUCUGGCAGGAGGCGGAGCUCACACGGUAAUGCUCUGUCGGGAGGCGGAGCUCACACGGUAAUGCUGUGACGGGAGGCGGAGCUCACACGGUAAUGCUGUGGCGGGGGGCGGAGCUCACACGGUAAUGCUCUGGCGGGGGGCGGAGCUCACACGGUAAUGCUCUGGCGGGGGGCGGAGCUCACACGGUAAUGCUCUGGCGGGAGGCGGAGCUCACACGGUAAUGCUGUGACGGGAGGCGGAGCUCACACGGUAAUGCUCGGACGGGAGGCGGAGCUCACACGGUAAUGCUCUGACGGGAGGCGGAGCUCACACGGUAAUGCUGUGACGGGAGGCGGAGCUCACACGGUAAUGCUCGGACGGGAGGCGGAGCUCACACGGUAAUGCUCUGACGGGAGGCGGAGCUCACACGGUAAUGCUGUGGCGGGAGGCGGAGCUCACACGGUAAUGCUCUGGCGGGAGGCGGAGCUCACACGGUAAUGCUGUGACGGGAGGCGGAGCUCACACGGUAAUGCUCGGACGGGAGGCGGAGCUCACACGGUAAUGCUCGGACGGGAGGCGGAGCUCACACGGUAAUGCUCUGGCGGAGGGCGGAGCUCACGGCAAGGCUCUGAGAGGAGAAGGAGCUCACAGUAAUGCUCUGGCAGGGGGCGGAGCUCACACGGUAAUGCUGUGACGGGAGGCGGAGCUCACACGGUAAUGCUGUGGCGGGGGGCGGAGCUCACACGGUAAUGCUCGGACGGGAGGCGGAGCUCACACGGUAAUGCUCUGGCGGGAGGCGGAGCUCACACGGUAAUGCUGUGACAGGAGGCGGAGCUCACACGGUAAUGCUCUGGCGGGAGGCGGAGCUCACACGGUAAUGCUCUGGCAGGAGGCGGAGCUCACACGGUAAUGCUCUGGCGGGGGGCGGAGCUCACGGCAAGGCUCUGAGAGGAGAAGGAGCUCACAGUAAUGCUCUGGCAGGGGGCGGAGCUCACACGGUAAUGCUCUGGCAGGGGGUGGAGCUCACACGGUAAUGCUCUGACAAGAGAUGGAGCUCACAGUAAUGCUCUGACAGGAGGCGGAGCUCAAACGGUAAUGCUCUGGCAGGGGGCGGAGCUCACGGUAAGGCUCUGACAGGAGGAGGAGCUCACACACUAAUGCUCUGACAGGGGGGCGGAGCUCACAGUAAUGCUCUGGCAGGGGGCGGAGCUCACAUAGUAAUGCUCUAACAUGGGGCGGAGCUCACAGUAAUGCUCUGACAGGGGGCGGAGCUCACGGUAAUGCUCUGGCAGGGGGUGGAGCUCACCCAGUAAUGCUCUGGCAGGGGGUGGAGCUCACACAGUAAUGCUCUAACGGGGGCGGAGCUCACACGGUAAUGCUGUCGGGAGGCGGAGCUCACAGUAAUGCUAUGGCAGGAGGCGGAGCUCACACAGUAAUGCUCUGGCAGGGGGUGGAGCUCACCCAGUAAUGCUCUGGCAGGGGGUGGAGCUCACAAGGUAAUGCUCUGGCAGGGGCGGAGCUCACCCAGUAAUGCUCUGGCAGGGGGUGGAGCUCACACAGUAAUGCUCUAACGGGGGCGGAGCUCACACGGUAAUGCUGUCGGGAGGCGGAGCUCACAGUAAUGCUAUGGCAGGAGGCGGAGCUCACACAGUAAUGCUCUGGCAGGGGGUGGAGCUCACCCAGUAAUGCUCUGGCAGGGGGUGGAGCUCACAAGGUAAUGCUCUGGCAGGGGCGGAGCUCACACAGUAAUGCUCUGGCAGGGCGCGGAGCUCACACGGUAAUGCUGUCGGGAGGCGGAGCUCACAGUAAUGCUCUGGCAGGGGGUGGAGCUCACCCAGUAAUGCUCUGGCAGGGGGUGGAGCUCACCCAGUAAUGCUCUGGCAGGGGGUGGAGCUCACAAGGUAAUGCUCUGGCAGGGGCGGAGCUCACACAGUAAUGCUCUGGCAGGGCGCGGAGCUCACACAGUAAUGCUCCAACAGGGGGCGGAGCUCACGGUAACGCUCUGACAGGAGGCGGAGCUCACAGAGUAAUGCUCUGGCAGCAGGCGGAGCUCACACGGUAAUGCUCUGACAGGUGGUGUUCACAGAGUAAUGCUCUGGCAGGGGGCGGAGCUCACACAGUAAUGCUCUGACAGGUGGCGGAGUUCACAGUAAUGCUCUGGCAGGGGGUGGAGCUCACACAGUAGCUCACCGGCCCACUGCUCACCUCCUACUGUGCGGCCUGGUUCCUAACAGGCCAUGGACUGGUAACAAUCUGUGGCCUGGGGAUUGGGGACCCCUGAUUUGAAUAAUCAAGGACACACUCACCUAGUAAACCGUCUGCCAAGAAAAAGGAGGAAAUGUUAGUUUUCUCCAUUCGUUCUCAGGCACCAACAUUAAUUUGAACUUAGAAAUAAACUACAAGGCCAGGCAUGGUGGUUUGUUCACACCUAUAAUUCCAGCACCUUGGGAGGCCAAGGAGGGAGGAUCACUUGAGACCAGCCUAGGCAACACAGUGAGACCCUGUCCCUACAAUUACAAAAUAAAUGAGCUGGGCAUGGUGGUGCACACCUGUAGCCCCAACUACUCAGAAGGCUGAGUCAGGAAGAUCACCUGAGCUGCCCAGGAGUUUGAGGCUGCAGUGAGCUGUGAUUGUACUACUGCACCGAUCCUGUCUCAAAAAAAAAAAAGAAAAGAAAAAGAAAAAAGAAACUAUACAAAAUAUCUGGAUUUUGAUGUAACACAAUACAAAGAUUACAUUUGAUUUUUAGGUCAACAAAUAUGACUAAAGUCACAACAGUAAAAUAUUUCAAAUGGAUUUGGAAAUAAAAGAAAGUUUGUUCAUUUAUAUUUUAUUUAAGAGCUGUGCCCAGUUUUAUCAUCUCAC